rnacentral:rRNA from 1 species
GACGAACGCUGGCGGCGUGCCUAAUACAUGCAAGUUGAGCGCUGAAGGUUGGUACUUGUACCAACUGGAUGAGCAGCGAACGGGUGAGUAACGCGUGGGGAAUCUGCCUUUGAGCGGGGGACAACAUUUGGAAACGAAUGCUAAUACCGCAUAAAAACUUUAAACACAAGUUUUAAGUUUGAAAGAUGCAAUUGCAUCACUCAAAGAUGAUCCUGCGUUGUAUUAGCUAGUUGGUGAGGUAAAGGCUCACCAAGGCGAUGAUACAUAGCCGACCUGAGAGGGUGAUCGGCCACAUUGGGACUGAGACACGGCCCAAACUCCUACGGGAGGCAGCAGUAGGGAAUCUUCGGCAAUGGACGAAAGUCUGACCGAGCAACGCCGCGGGAGUGAAGAAGGGUGUCGGAUCGUAAAACUCUGUUGGUAGAGAAGAACGUUGGUGAGGGUGGAAAGCUCAUCAAGUGACGGUAACUACCCAGAAAGGGACGGCUAACUACGUG